UGGGGGAUAUUGCACAAUGGGGGGAACCCUGAUGCAGCGACGCCGCGUGGGUGAAGGAGUGCUUCGGCAUGUAAAGCCCUAUCGGCAGGGAAGAAUAUGACGGUACCUGACUAAGAAGCCCCGGCUAACUACGUGCCAGCAGCCGCGGUAAUACGUAGGGGGCAAGCGUUAUCCGGAUUCACUGGGUGUAAAGGGAGCGUAGACGGCCAUGCAAGCCUGGAGUGAAAGCCCGGGGGUCCCAACCCCAGGGCACUGCUCUGGGAACUGCACGGCUGGAGUGCGGGAGGGGCAGGCGGAAUUCCUGGUGUAGCGGUGAAAUGCGUAGAUAUCAUGAAGAACUCCGAUCGCGAAGGCAAGUGCCCCGGGGCUGCAACUGACGCUGAGGCUCGAAGGUGCGGGUAUCGAACAGGAUUAGAUACCC
rnacentral:rRNA from 1 species